UACGUAGGGGGCGAGCGUUGUCCGGAAUUAUUGGGCGUAAAGAGCUCGUAGGCGGUCUGUCGCGUCGGCUGUGAAAACCCGAGGCUCAACCUCGGGCCUGCAGUCGAUACGGGCAGACUAGAGUGUGGUAGGGGAGACUGGAAUUCCUGGUGUAGCGGUGAAAUGCGCAGAUAUCAGGAGGAACACCGGCGGCGAAGGCGGGUCUCUGGGCCAUAACUGACGCUGAGGAGCGAAAGCCAGGGGAGCAAACGGG
rnacentral:rRNA from 1 species